GAGUUUGAUCGUGGCUCAGGACGAACGCUGGCGGCGUGCCUAAUACAUGCAAGUCGAGCGAGGGUUUUUAAGACCCUAGCGGCGGACGGGUGAGUAACACGUAGGCAACCUGCCUCUCAGACCGGGAUAACAUAGGGAAACUUAUGCUAAUACCGGAUAGGUUUUGGAUCGCAUGAUCCGAAAGAAAAGAUGGCUUUUCGCUAUCACUGGGAGAUGGGCCUGCGGCGCAUUAGCUAGUUGGUGGGUAACGGCCUACCAAGCGACGAUGCGUAGCCGACCUCGAGAGGGUGACCGGCCACACUGGGACUGAGACACGGCCCAGACUCCUACGGGAGGCA
rnacentral:rRNA from 1 species